rnacentral:pre_miRNA from 1 species
AUGUAGAGCAAUCUCUGUCUAAGUAGGAGUAAAUUACUCUUAAAAAAAAAAAGGAAAAAAAAAGUCCUAGAUAGUUUUCCCUUCAAGUAAAACGUCUUGU